rnacentral:rRNA from 1 species
AGCGGCGGACGGGUGAGUAAUGCCUAGGAAUCUGCCUGGUAGUGGGGGACAACGUUUCGAAAGGAACGCUAAUACCGCAUACGUCCUACGGGAGAAAGCAGGGGACCUUCGGGCCUUGCGCUAUCAGAUGAGCCUAGGUCGGAUUAGCUAGUUGGUGAGGUAAUGGCUCACCAAGGCGACGAUCCGUAACUGGUCUGAGAGGAUGAUCAGUCACACUGGAACUGAGACACGGUCCAGACUCCUACGGGAGGCAGCAGUGGGGAAUAUUGGACAAUGGGCGAAAGCCUGAUCCAGCCAUGCCGCGUGUGUGAAGAAGGUCUUCGGAUUGUAAAGCACUUUAAGUUGGGAGGAAGGGUUGUAGAUUAAUACUCUGCAAUUUUGACGUUACCGACAGAAUAAGCACCGGCUAACUCUGUGCCAGCAGCCGCGGUAAUACAGAGGGUGCAAGCGUUAAUCGGAAUUACUGGGCGUAAAGCGCGCGUAGGUGGUUUGUUAAGUUGGAUGUGAAAUCCCCGGGCUCAACCUGGGAACUGCAUCCAAAACUGGCAAGCUAGAGUAUGGUAGAGGGUGGUGGAAUUUCCUGUGUAGCGGUGAAAUGCGUAGAUAUAGGAAGGAACACCAGUGGCGAAGGCGACCACCUGGACUGAUACUGACACUGAGGUGCGAAAGCGUGGGGAGCAACCAGGAUUAGAUACCCUGGUAGUCCACGCCGUAAACGAUGUCAACUAGCCGUUGGGAGCCUUGAGCUCUUAGUGGCGCAGCUAACGCAUUAAGUUGACCGCCUGGGGAGUACGGCCGCAAGGUUAAAACUCAAAUGAAUUGACGGGGGCCCGCACAAGCGGUGGAGCAUGUGGUUUAAUUCGAAGCAACGCGAAGAACCUUACCAGGCCUUGACAUCCAAUGAACUUUCCAGAGAUGGAUUGGUGCCUUCGGGAGCAUUGAGACAGGUGCUGCAUGGCUGUCGUCAGCUCGUGUCGUGAGAUGUUGGGUUAAGUCCCGUAACGAGCGCAACCCUUGUCCUUAGUUACCAGCACGUUAUGGUGGGCACUCUAAGGAGACUGCCGGUGACAAACCGGAGGAAGGUGGGGAUGACGUCAAGUCAUCAUGGCCCUUACGGCCUGGGCUACACACGUGCUACAAUGGUCGGUACAGAGGGUUGCCAAGCCGCGAGGUGGAGCUAAUCCCACAAAACCGAUCGUAGUCCGGAUCGCAGUCUGCAACUCGACUGCGUGAAGUCGGAAUCGCUAGUAAUCGCGAAUCAGAAUGUCGCGGUGAAUACGUUCCCGGGCCUUGUACACACCGCCCGUCACACCAUGGGAGUGGGUUGCACCAGAAGUAGCUAGUCUAACCUUCGGGAGGACG